rnacentral:sRNA from 1 species
GCCGGGUAUGGUGGUGCACGCCUGUGAUCCUAGCAAUUCAGGAGGCUGAGGCAGGAGAAUCACAAUUUCAAAACCAGCCUCAGGAACUUAAGUGAGGCAGUAAGCAACUUAGCAAGACCCUGUCUCAA